rnacentral:misc_RNA from 1 species
CAAAAAAUAAAAAUGACAAAAGCAUAUUUGCAAGUCCAAUACUAGUACUCUGUAAUUUCUCCACAAUAAUGCCCAUGUCAAGAAAUAUCACAAAGAAAUUUUUCGUACGUUUAAUUCCAUUUUCUUCAAAAGAAAAUCAAAUCCAUUAACACCCCAAAAGCACAUUCUUUCUAUUUACCAAAGUUCUUGGGGAAUUCCAAAUGCCAAAUUGGACAAAAACUGAACAUGAU